rnacentral:misc_RNA from 1 species
AACGCACCUUGCGCUCCUUGGUAUUCCGAGGAGCAUGCCUGUUCGAGCGUCAUGAAACUCUCAAACCGCAUCUUUAUCGAUGUCGGGCUUGGACUUGGACGUUGCUGGGCCCCCAACGGGUUCGGCUCGUCUCAAAUGCAUCAGCUGACUCUCCCGACUUCAGUUUUCGGCGUGAUAAUCACAUCUACGUCGAUGCCGCGAGGCGCUGGACCGGGGAUCAAACGGCUUCUAACCGUCCGCGAGGACAAUCGUUUUCAUCUCAUUUUGGCCUCGAAUCAGGUAGGACUACCCGCUGAACUUAA